AAGGUUAAAAUUAACAAUAGUGAUACGCUAACGAAGACCGCCUUCUGAUGGCAUUGUCGUUCGUAAGUACAUCCUCAAAAGCCCCGUAUCACGACAUUUUAUAAGAAAAUAUUGCUAUUCAACUAGGUACGUAUAUAUAUAUAUAAUUUGCAAACUAACUGCAUAUUUGGUUUCAUUUAAUCGCUUAUACAUAAAUUUAAUAUAUUUAUAGACU